rnacentral:tRNA from 1 species
GGGCCUGUAGCUCAGUUGGUUAGAGCUGACCGCUCAUAACGGUUAGGUCGCAGGUUCGAGUCCUGCCGGGCCCA